rnacentral:misc_RNA from 1 species
GGUGAUCCUGCUAUCGUUGAUAACCCGGAUAUUCCGAGCUACCAGCCUCACGUGCACGGGAGGUGUGAUCCUCCUGCUUUGAUUCCUCUUCAGAUGAACGGAAUUUCACUUGAAGCUGAUUGUUAUUUGGAUACGGCGUUCAUCACUGUUACAGGAUCAUGGCGUGUGCAUUGUGUCAUGGGUAGCCGUAGCUGUGACUGUCGUAUAGCUGUACCCAUGGGUGAACAGGGUUCAAUUCUAGGUGUCGAGGUUGAGUUACCCAGGAAAUCUUACAGCACUAAAAUAGUUAC